CUCUCCUCUCAAAUGGCGCUCUCCUCUUCUCCUCUCCUCUCGCUACCGACUGCUCCACACAUCAAAAUCGUCGGCGAUCAUUUCUAUUUUCCGUUGAUCUCCAUCAAAAAUUGGAGACUUUAAAAAAGGCUUGGUCCGGUCACAAGCAAAACAGUGAAUUGUCGAUGCCGCCUCCAUCACAUCAUUCUUUUUCUUUCCUAACUAUGUUUUAUUGUUUGUUUUUAUUAAAAUGUUGAGAGCAUAUUAUUUGUUUAGCAAUUGAAAGCAGGUUGAAUUAGUAAUUAAUUGGGUUUAUUUAUUUUUACUCUGUUUAAAUUUUA